rnacentral:rRNA from 1 species
CCUACGGGUGGCAGCAGUGAGGAAUAUUGGUCAAUGGGCGGAAGCCUGAACCAGCCAAGUAGCGUGCAGGAUGACGGCCCUACGGGUUGUAAACUGCUUUUAUACGGGAAUAAUGCGCCUUACGUGUAGGGCUUUGCAUGUACCGUAUGAAUAAGGACCGGCUAAUUCCGUGCCAGCAGCCGCGGUAAUACGGAAGGUCCGGGCGUUAUCCGGAUUUAUUGGGUGUAAAGGUAGCGUAGGCCGCAUGUCAAGCGUGCUGUGACAUGUCCGUGCUCAACCCGGGCCUUGCAGCGCGAACUGGCGUGCUUGAGUCCGCGGAAAGCAGGCGGAAUU